rnacentral:rRNA from 1 species
UACGUAGGGUGCGAGCGUUAAUCGGAAUUACUGGGCGUAAAGCGUGCGCAGGCGGUGAUGUAAGACCGAUGUGAAAUCCCCGGGCUUAACCUGGGAACUGCAUUGGUGACUGUAUCGCUCGAGUAUGGCAGAGGGGGGUAGAAUUCCACGUGUAGCAGUGAAAUGCGUAGAGAUGUGGAGGAAUACCGAUGGCGAAGGCAGCCCCCUGGGUCAAUACUGACGCUCAUGCACGAAAGCGUGGGGAGCAAACAGG